UACACAUUUAGGCUAGCUAAUGCCAUAGGCCUAAUCCAUCGUUUAAGUCAAUCGGAUUAUGUUGGACAACUUACAUUUUUGGCAACAAGAAUUGCCAAAAAGAAACGGGUAUCAAUUAUUGCAUAAAGCUGUCAACAAUGCUGUUACUGCAAGGCAGAAUUAAUUUUUCAAACGAGUAACGAACCAGCUAGCAAUGAUCUCUUCAACAUAUUGCCUUUCUGGGAUUAAAGCACGUGUAGGCUAAACAAGAACACAAGAACACAUGAAUCUGUAUGAAUCGUCCAAGUAAUCUGCUGCCUGAAAUUGAGUUUUGCCAAGGAUGGGAUGCAAAAUUUGAAUCAAUCACAAGAAGCAAUCGAAAAUUAGUGAGCAGGGGCCUGAAUCUUCCAGAUUUCAUUAAGUUGGCCAGACUUCAUGAUGUGUGACUUGAUUUGAACUUAAACAGAGGCUGGGAAAAACUUGAACAAGAGGAUUAGAAAUCUGCCAACAAAAACGAACCUGAAGCAAAGCUGACCAAUACAUCAAACUGGCCAAACUCAAUCUGGGAAGCGGCAUCCGUUGGUGUAUGGUUAAACAAUGGCAGUCCUUGUGAACUAAUGUUUCUAAC
rnacentral:lncRNA from 1 species